AAGUCGUAACAAGGUUUCGUCCGAACAGUAUCCUUCCGGGUAACUUGUGGAAGCCUAUGCAACCUCACCAGGGUCCGCGACUAUAAAUAUAGGAUGCAAGUCGCUAUGGCGGCAACAUGAUCGAAUUGCGGGGAUCUCCUAAAGCCUAGCGGUACCAACACACUGUAGAAAUGCAGGGUGGGCCAGUGCUAACCCCACUGGAGGUCAGAAUCUGCUAGGAUGCUACAAUGGACGAUCCGCAGCGAAGCCCCUAUCGGCCCAGGCCUACGGGGA
rnacentral:misc_RNA from 1 species